rnacentral:rRNA from 1 species
GUAGGUGGCAAGCGUUGUCCGGAAUUAUUGGGGCGUAAAGCGCGCGCAGGCGGUUUCUUUAAGCUGAUGUGAAAGCCCACGGGCUCAACCGUGGAGGGUCAUUGGAAACUGGAGAACUUGAGUACAGAAGAGGAAAGCGGAAUUCCACGUGUAGCGGUGAAAUGCGUAGAGAUGUGGAGGAACACCAGUGGCGAAGGCGGCUUUCUGGUCUGUAACUGACGCUGAGGCGCGAAAGCGUGGGGAGCAAACAGGAUUAGAUACCCUGGUAGUCCACGCCGUAAACGAUGAGUGCUAAGUGUUAGGGGGUUUCCGCCCCUUAGUGCUGCAGCUAACGCAUUAAGCACUCCGCCUGGGGAGUACGGCCGCAAAGGCUG